AAUACAUGGUAAGAGAAGUGAAUAGAUCUCACUGUGGCAAUCUUGAGCAUUGCUGUGACUGUGUAUUGCAGCCUGGAACUGCAGAUCCUGCCCUCCCUGGCACCAUCACUGGGGAGGAGCAGCUUGCGCACCCAGGAGCAGAUGAGCGCUGUGAUCACAGCCAGCCUGGAAUGAGCAGGUCACAGUGUCACCCCCCAAAGAACCCAGGGAAGUUGUCUUGUGGGACCAGAGCCCCUCCAAGGGGCUUGUGUGACUGUGUGUUUUGAGUCUGCAGCAGAAUCACACUUUGAGUAAGCACAGCCCAAAUCUUCUGCUGUUAAUGAAACACCAUUUCUCCUCCCCUCUGCUGCUCCCCGCAGCACUGCUGUUUAACCCCAGGCAGAGAUGUUUAACUCCAGGAGGAGGUUUGGAGCACGGCAUACAAAAUGGUGUCAAAGAAAACCGGCAGCACUUCAGCUUCUCAGUCCUGAGUCCUGCUGGAGUAUGACUCAGACUUGCUCAGGAAUAAGGCUGACCCAGGAAUGUGGGAACAGGGGCUCUGUUCCUGGUUCUGCUAUGGAUGUGCUGAAUAUAUCCUCAGUUUUCAAGCUCUCAGGAGGCCACAGAUGAAGAAGUUUUCUUCUACAGAGAGUCAGCCUGGAGAUACUCAAUAUUCUUCCUGCUCAACCCAG